UAGGACGAACGCUGGCGGCGUGCCUAACACAUGCAAGUCGAGCGAGGAGAUCCCUUCGGGGAUGAACCUAGCGGCGGACGGGUGAGUAACACGUGGGCAACCUGCCUUAUAGAGGGGAAUAGCCUUCCGAAAGGAAGAUUAAUACCGCAUAACAUUACAUUUUCGCAUGAAGAAGUAAUUAAAGGAGUAAUCCGCUAUAAGAUGGGCCCGCGGCGCAUUAGCUAGUUGGUGAGGUAACGGCUCACCAAGGCGACGAUGCGUAGCCGACCUGAGAGGGUGAUCGGCCACAUUGGGACUGAGACACGGCCCAGACUCCUACGGGAGGCAGCAGUGGGGAAUAUUGCACAAUGGGGGAAACCCUGAAUGCAGCAACGCCGCGUGAGUGAUGAAGGUCUUCGGAUUGUAAAGCUCUUUGAUUGGGGACGAAGAAAGUGACGGUACCCAAAGAACAAGCCCCGGCUAACUACGUGCCAGCCGCAGC
rnacentral:rRNA from 1 species